rfam:Enterovibrio coralii strain CAIM 912 contig00082, whole genome shotgun sequence.
CAGUCGGCACCACAACCAUUAUUACCACGAUUACCAUCACCAUUUGUGAGGGUGCGGGCUGACAUGCACUGAAUUUUUAAAAGAAGCCCGUACCCUCAACAGGUACGGGCUUUUUUUUA